rnacentral:lncRNA from 1 species
UUCAAGCUAUUGAUGAAAGGUAACGACGAUUCUGAUCUGGCUAGAGAAUUGAUUUUGAAAGCGAUCAAAUUGGGAGCUACUGAUCUCACGCUUCAAUUUUCAAUAUCGGAUACUAGUAGGUGUUUUGUUCUACCAGAUGAGGUGCUUGAAUCCAAAACCCUAGUUAGAUUAUCUGUUUCAGGGCUCACGGUUGAUCUCGAGAG